rnacentral:rRNA from 1 species
GACGAACGCUGGCGGCGUGCUUAACACAUGCAAGUCGAACGAUGAACCUCGAAAUGAUUUCUUCGGAAAGAUUUUUGAGAGGAUUAGUGGCGAACGGGUGAGUAACGCGUGAGCAACCUGCCUUAGACAAGGGGAUAGCCUCGGGAAACCGUGAUUAAUACCCUAUGAGACUCCACUUACGAGUGUAAGAGAAGUUAAAGCUAUUGCGGUCUAAGAUGGGCUCGCGUCUGAUUAGCUAGUUGGUGAGAUAAAAGCCCACCAAGGCGACGAUCAGUAACCGGGUUGAGAGAGUGAACGGUCACAUUGGAACUGAGCCACGGUCCAAACUCCUACGGGAGGCAGCAGUGGGGAAUAUUGCACAAUGGGGGCAACCCUGAUGCAGCGACGCCGCGUGAGCGAUGAAGGAAUUCGUUUCGUAAAGCUCUGUCCUUGGAGAAGAUAAUGACGGUAACCAAGGAGGAAGCACCGGCUAAAUACGUG